CAUAGGAGAUUUUUUUUACUUGACAGGAAUACAAGAACUGAUAGGCUGCUUCUUAGUAGUGAUAUGGCUUUGAUACCAUGUAAAUAUUGGAAACAAAAAGUGGAAUUAAAAUUUGGUUAAAAAAAAAAAACUAAUGGCUUUGCGCAGAAAACAACACCUGAAUCAGUGGUUGACGGAGUUGACAAAUAACGAAACUCUGUCCUUGCAACAUCAAGUCCAGGCAGUUGCUCCUUUAGUGUUGCAGCAGUACUUUCUGAUACAAUUCAGAAGAUGUUGUCUGAUGUUUCUUUGGCCAUCUCCUCACUGACAAAUAGAAAAACCAGGGAUCAGAUCAUGAUUCUCAACUCAAAAAGGUCGCUUAGGUAUUGUCGAUCAUGAUGUAGUUCAGCUUAACAAUCUGCACAGGCAGAUUAUCCAUACUGAAGCAUAUAUUGGUCAGUCAAAAGUGGAAUCUGCUGCUGCUGCUUGUCACUCAUAUGUAACACUGGAUUGACUGACUACUUUGAAAACCUGGUCACAUUCUAAAGCAAUGAAGAGAGCCAUCAGUGAACAUUGUGGUGUAUGGACAAUCCCAAUGCUUAGUUACUUUUACUGUUUCCAGUGCAUUGGUAUAAGGUUAGCUUGGUAAACAUUGUGGUGUACUUGAAUUGAGUGUUUUUAUAUAACUUACUCUCCUAGUGUAAACAUGACAGCCAGUGAAUUAGUUUGAAUUUUUACUUGACUUCUGUUAA